GAUGAACGCUAGCGGGAGGCUUAACACAUGCAAGUCGAGGGGCAGCAUAGGGUAGCAAUACUCUGAUGGCGACCGGCAAACGGGUGAGUAACGCGUAUGCAACCUACCCUGUACAGGGGGAUAACCCGGAGAAAUUCGGACUAAUAUCCCGUAAUAAUAUCCGGAGGCAUCUUUGGAUAUUUAAAGUUCCGACGGUACGGGAUGGGCAUGCGUAACAUUAACUGGUUGGUAAGGUAACGGCUUACCAAGGCUAUGAUGUUUAGGGGUCCUGAGAGGGUGGUCCCCCACACUGGUACUGAGACACGGACCAGACUCCUACGGGAGGCAGCAGUGAGGAAUAUUGGUCAAUGGGCGCAAGCCUGAACCAGCCAUCCCGCGUGCAGGAAGACGGCCCUAUGGGUUGUAAACUGCUUUUCCAGGGAGAGAAACUUACGCACGUGUUGCGUGACUGACGGUACCCUGGGAAUAAGCAUCGGCUAACUCCGUGCCAGCAGCCGCGGUAAACACGAGAUA
rnacentral:rRNA from 1 species